CCGAUAGUGAACCAGUACCGUGAGGGAAAGGCGAAAAGAACCCCGGCGAGGGGAGUGAAAAAGAACCUGAAACCGUGUACGUACAAGCAGUGGGAGCCUCUUAAUGGGGUGACUGCGUACCUUUUGUAUAAUGGGUCAGCGACUUAUAUUCUGUAGCAAGGUUAACCGAAUAGGGGAGCCGAAGGGAAACCGAGUCUUAACUGGGCGUUAAGUUGCAGGGUAUAGACCCGAAACCCGGUGAUCUAGCCAUGGGCAGGUUGAAGGUUGGGUAACACUAACUGGAGGACCGAACCGACUAAUGUUGAAAAAUUAGCGGAUGACUUGUGGCUGGGGGUGAAAGGCCAAUCAAACCGGGAGAUAGCUGGUUCUCCCCGAAAGCUAUUUAGGUAGCGCCUCGUGAAUUCAUCUCCGGGGGUAGAGCACUGUUUCGGCAAGGGGGUCAUCCCGACUUACCAACCCGAUGCAAACUGCGAAUACCGGAGAAUGUUAUCACGGGAGACACACGGCGGGUGCUAACGUCCGUCGUGAAGAGGGAAACAACCCAGACCGCCAGCUAAGGUCCCAAAGUCAUGGUUAAGUGGGAAACGAUGUGGGAAGGCCCAGACAGCCAGGAUGUUGGCUUAGAAGCAGCCAUCAUUUAAAGAAAGCGUAAUAGCUCACUGGUCGAGUCGGCCUGCGCGGAAGAUGUAACGGGGCUAAACCAUGCACCGAAGCUGCGGCAGCGACACUAUGUGUUGUUGGGUAGGGGAGCGUUCUGUAAGCCUGUGAAGGUGGCCUGUGAGGGUUGCUGGAGGUAUCAGAAGUGCGAAUGCUGACAUAAGUAACGAUAAAGCGGGUGAAAAGCCCGCUCGCCGGAAGACCAAGGGUUCCUGUCCAACGUUAAUCGGGGCAGGGUGAGUCGACCCCUAAGGCGAGGCCGAAAGGCGUAGUCGAUGGGAAACAGGUUAAUAUUCCUGUACUUGGUGUUACUGCGAAGGGGGGACGGAGAAGGCUAUGUUGGCCGGGCGACGGUUGUCCCGGUUUAAGCGUGUAGGCUGGUUUUCCAGGCAAAUCCGGAAAACCAAGGCUGAGGCGUGAUGACGAGGCACUACGGUGCUGAAGCGACAAAUGCCCUGCUUCCAGGAAAAGCCUCUAAGCAUCAGGUAACAUCAAAUCGUACCCCAAACCGACACAGGUGGUCAGGUAGAGAAUACCAAGGCGCUUGAGAGAACUCGGGUGAAGGAACUAGGCAAAAUGGUGCCGUAACUUCGGGAGAAGGCACGCUGAUAUGUAGGUGAAGCGACUUGCUCGUGGAGCUGAAAUCAGUCGAAGAUACCAGCUGGCUGCAACUGUUUAUUAAAAACACAGCACUGUGCAAACACGAAAGUGGACGUAUACGGUGUGACGCCUGCCCGGUGCCGGAAGGUUAAUUGAUGGGGUUAGCGGUAACGCGAAGCUCUUGAUCGAAGCCCCGGUAAACGGCGGCCGUAACUAUAACGGUCCUAAGGUAGCGAAAUUCCUUGUCGGGUAAGUUCCGACCUGCACGAAUGGCGUAAUGAUGGCCAGGCUGUCUCCACCCGAGACUCAGUGAAAUUGAACUCGCUGUGAAGAUGCAGUGUACCCGCGGCAAGACGGAAAGACCCCGUGAACCUUUACUAUAGCUUGACACUGAACAUUGAGCCUUGAUGUGUAGGAUAGGUGGGAGGCUUUGAAGUGUGGACGCCAGUCUGCAUGGAGCCGACCUUGAAAUACCACCCUUUAAUGUUUGAUGUUCUAACGUUGGCCCGUAAUCCGGGUUGCGGACAGUGUCUGGUGGGUAGUUUGACUGGGGCGGUCUCCUCCUAAAGAGUAACGGAGGAGCACGAAGGUUGGCUAAUCCUGGUCGGACAUCAGGAGGUUAGUGCAAUGGCAUAAGCCAGCUUGACUGCGAGCGUGACGGCGCGAGCAGGUGCGAAAGCAGGUCAUAGUGAUCCGGUGGUUCUGAAUGGAAGGGCCAUCGCUCAACGGAUAAAAGGUACUCCGGGGAUAACAGGCUG
rnacentral:rRNA from 1 species